UACGGAGGGGGCUAGCGUUGUUCGGAAUUACUGGGCGUAAAGAGCGCGUAGGCGGUUAGAUAAGUUAGAGGUGAAAGCCCAGGGCUCAACCUUGGAAUAGCUUCUAAAACUAUUUAGCUAGAGUAUGGUAGAGGGUGAUAGAAUUCCUAGUGUAGAGGUGAAAUUCUUAGAUAUUAGGAGGAAUACCGAAGGCGAAAGCAAUCAUCUGGGCCAAGACUGACGCUGAGGCGCGAAAGCGUGGGGAGCAAACAGG
rnacentral:rRNA from 1 species